rnacentral:rRNA from 1 species
GACAGAGGGGGCAAGCGUUGCUCGGAAUUACUGGGCGUAAAGGGCGCGUAGGCGGGAUGGCAAGUCGGUCGUGAAAUCCCUCGGCUCAACCGAGGAACGUCGAUCGAUACUGCUGUUCUUGAGGAUUGCAGAGGAGACUGGAAUUCCCGGUGUAGCGGUGAAAUGUGUAGAGAUCGGGAGGAACACCGGUGGCGAAGGCGGGUCUAUGGGCAAUUCCUGACGCUGAGGCGCGAAAGCGUGGGGAGCAAACGGG